GGCAAAAAUUUGUGCGAGCCAUGGUGUAUAUGAAGAAUUUGUCUCUAGAUCCUCAUCCAUUAAUGCAGAAUAUGAAGCUAAAGCCUGUGACACACAGGCAGCUGUUAAGGAAACCAAGGAAGAGAUAGACUCCAUGUCUAUCUUGUGCUUGAAUCAGCUUAAGUGUGUCAGUUAGAAUCAUACUGAAAGCAUAACAAAUAUCAGAAACCGAGCGGAGCAGUGUCUGAGGAAAGAUUAUUUGGUUGAUCAGCAUACUAGUACAACUCCGAAGUUGAAGAUAAUAGGAGUGCUUAGCUUGGCAUCCAUCGAGGAGAUGAGAACGCCUGCAGUUGGAGAUCUUAUGGCGAAUUUUACCGGACCAAAUUUGGGCUGUACU